UACGAAGGGGCUAGCGUUGCUCGGAAUCACUGGGCGUAAAGCGCACGUAGGCGGAUCUUUAAGUCAGGGGUGAAAUCCUGGAGCUCAACUCCAGAACUGCCUUUGAUACUGGGGAUCUCGAGUCCGGAAGAGGUGAGUGGAACUCCGAGUGUAGAGGUGAAAUUCGUAGAUAUUCGGAUGAACACCAGUGGCGAAGGCGGCUCACUGGUCCGGUACUGACGCUGAGGUGCGAAAGCGUGGGGAGCAAACAGG
rnacentral:rRNA from 1 species